AGGACGCUUCCUUCGGGAAGCGAGCGUACACAGGUGCUGCAUGGCUGCCGUCAGCUCGUGUCGUGAGAUGUUGGGUUAAGUCCCGCAACGAGCGCAACCCCUAUUGCCAGUUGCUAACAGGAGAGCUGAGCACUCUGGCGAGACUGCCGCCGACAAGGCGGAGGAAGGUGGGGACGACGUCAAGUCAUCAUGGCCUUUAUGCCCAGGGCUACACACGUGCUACAAUGGCCGGCACAGACGGCAGCUUAGUGGCGACACUUGGCAAAUCCUCUAAAGCCGGUCCCAGUUCGGAUUGUAGUCUGCAACUCGACUACAUGAAGCCGGAAUCGCCAGUAAUCGCAGAUCAGCCAAGCUGCGGUGAAUACGUUCCCGGGCCUU
rnacentral:rRNA from 1 species